rnacentral:rRNA from 1 species
UACGUAGGGUGCGAGCGUUGCUCGGAAUCACUGGGCGUAAAGGGUGCGUAGGCGGGUUUUUAAGUCAGGGGUGAAAUCCUGGAGCUCAACUCCAGAACUGCCUUUGAUACUGAAGAUCUUGAGUCUGGGAGAGGUGAGUGGAACUGCGAGUGUAGAGGUGAAAUUCGUAGAUAUUCGCAAGAACACCAGUGGCGAAGGCGGCUCACUGGCCCGAUACUGACGCUGAGGCACGAAAGCGUGGGGAGCAAACAGG